rnacentral:misc_RNA from 1 species
CCGAGUUUACAACUCCCAAACCCAAUGUGAACGUUACCAAACUGUUGCCUCGGCGGGAUCUCUGCCCCGGGUGCGUCGCAGCCCAGGACCAAGGCGCCCGCCGGAGGACCAACCAAAACUCUUAUUGUAUACCCCCUCGCGGGUUUUUUUAUAAUCUGAGCCUUCUCGGCGCCUCUCGUAGGCGUUUCGAAAAUGAAUCA